GACGAACGCUGGCGGCGUGCUUAACACAUGCAAGUCGAACGGAAAGGCCCUGCUUUUGUGGGGUGCUCGAGUGGCGAACGGGUGAGUAACACGUGAGUAACCUGCCCUUGACUUUGGGAUAACUUCAGGAAACUGGGGCUAAUACCGGAUAGGAGCUCCUGCUGCAUGGUGGGGGUUGGAAAGUUUCGGCGGUUGGGGAUGGACUCGCGGCUUAUCAGCUUGUUGGUGGGGUAGUGGCUUACCAAGGCUUUGACGGGUAGCCGGCCUGAGAGGGUGACCGGCCACAUUGGGACUGAGAUACCGCCCAGACUCCUACGGGAGGCAGCAGUGGGGAAUUUUGCACAAUGGGCGGAAGCCUGAUGCAGCAACGCCGCGUGCGGGAUGACGGCCUUCGGGUUGUAAACCGCUUUCGCCUGUGACGAAGCGUGAGUGACGGUAAUGGGUAAAGGAGCACCGGCUAACUACCUG
rnacentral:rRNA from 1 species